GCACUUCAAAAACAUAUUAAAAAUCAGGGAGACUUUAUCUUUAGGCUGUAGCUUACACAGUCCAUUGUAUUAUCAUUUUAUUUUCGCUAUGAUAUCGGAUUAUUUAAUAAUGUUCAGUUAUAUUUAAGUGGUAUAUAUGCAGACGUUAAAUUUUUUCCACCAAAAAUUCCAACUGUAAAUUCAUUUGCAAAUUUAAAGUUUUGAAAAUUUAACAUACUAAAUGUACAUAAAACAAUUACUCAUAAUUGUCUUCCCUUUAUGAAGGGGAUGGAAUGAGAACAUGGUUAAGAUAUAAGUAAACAUAUCAAGGAUAUCAACCUGUAAUCAAGGGUUCAGUUCACUCUCUUGUUUAUAACUUUCUUAUUUAAUUAUCUCAACUAAUACAAGUAUGGUUGACAUUGUUAUUACGAGGAAUAUGGGUAGGAAAGACAAUUUUAUAUAAAUGACGGUGCCAUAUUGGAAUAUUUGUUAGCUCCCUUGUACCAUAGUUAAACAUGAAAUGAUUCUACCAGGAAUAGGCCCAGAUCUACAUGUAGGUCAUGUUGUAGUGUUUACCAAUAUCUCAGUGUUUUAUAAGAUGUUUUAUUUCUGCCAGUCAGAUAAACUUUAUUAAGCGGGCAUCAAUUUGUAUCUAAAGAUUUUUACCACUAACAAUUAAUUUAAGUCAUUCCAACUUUCCUCUGAAAAUUGUUUGGUUUAACCACUGGAGCCACUUUUAAAACAUUGUUUGUGUGCCCUCUUGUGACCAAUUGAGGAAAUGUAGCCAACUCUAAAUAUUUUUAUUUACCUUCUGAGAAUUCUCUUUUCCUUUUUUUCAUUUGAAUACUGGGUAGUUUUGAAGAUCUAGGUUCAUUUAAGGAAUGCAUGGUUUCAAGUUGUUAAUGUAUUUUUGAAGAAUAAAUAAUAUAAAUAAGAAUGAGUCUCCCUGUCUACCAACCCAAAGCUUGAACACCAAGUUUGGGGAGACAUACAAUUUAAAAUUCUUUAAAAGUGGCCUGACAUAUACAACGCUGUAUCUUCAGUUUUAUAUAGGUAGACAUUCCAACAUUGUUAUUUGUUCUGUUGGUUGAUAUCUCUUAUUGAUGACUCAUUCCACAUUUUGUUGAAUUCACUUUGUCAAACUUUAGUGAUGUACAUACCAGAACACAUGUAAAUGUAUGACAAGGAAAUAAAUAGAAAUAAUGAAA
rnacentral:sRNA from 1 species